CCCGCACUGCCCUCCGAGCGCCCCCGGCCCCUGCCCACAGGCAUCUGGCGAGGCGGCACACGGCGGGACACGGGGCGAGCGACGGUGCGGCGGGGAGAAUAAUAAAUCUGCCAUCUGUACCCGAGGGAAUGGCCUGAAGCUGUGUCAGGGGAGGUUUGGGUUAGAUAUUAGAAAAAAGUUCUUCAGCCGAACAGGCUUCCCAGGGAAGUGGUCACAGCGCCAAGCCUGGAUGAGUUCAAGGAGCGUUUGGACAAUGCUUUCAGGCACAUGGGAUUCUUGGGGAUGUCCUGUGCAGGGCUAAGAGGUGGACUCAGUGAUUCUUGUGGGUCCCUUCCAACUCAGGAUAUUUUAUGAUUCUGUCAUUCCCUUCAGGAUAGCGACCUGGCAGUUGGGUCACCGUGCUGUGCUGCCUGCUGCCCCACAGGACAGCUGACAGGCUAAAGGUGGACAUCACUUUUGGGGUUAGCAGGCUCCAUCACGGCUUCAGGAGGUUAUGGGGCCUGAGUCCUUGCUGGGACAAAACACUCAUGGGGACUGUUUCAGCACACCUUGGAAACUAAUCAUGAAGCCAAGGAAGACAGCAGCAGCCAGCCAGAUCUCUGUGCCUCUUGGGAUGACCAAGUUCUUUGCUGUGAGAGUGGUGAGGUUGCCCAGAAAAGCUGUGGAUGUCUCAUCCCUGGAAAUGUUCCAAGGCCAGGCUGGAUGGGGCUCUGAGAAACCUGGUCUGGGGUAAGGUGUCCCUGCAUUUGGCAGUGGGGUUGGAGCUAGAUGACCUUUAAUGUCCCUUCCAACCCAAACCAUUUUAUGAUUCUAUGACAUCCACAGGUGCAACACUACCAAGGAGAGAGGAUAAGAUCUCCAGGGGAAUAUAUUUGUAGGAACCUCCCUUACUGCUCACAGACACCCAGCACUUGCCAAUAUGAGACACAGUGAGUGUGAAGUUACCAGCUCUGCACCAAGGGCUCACAGGAGCUGGCAGAGCACAAAUUCACAGUUAUCAGAGAUGAUCAGCGUGCCUACAAGGAUGCUACCAGGAGCAUGUAGGGCUAAUGAGGACAUUGUGUACAUAGAGGAAGCGACAAUUAUGCGGAGUCGUGAUGAACAGCCCAGAAACCUCACAGUUGUUCAUGCACCUGAAAACAAGAGGAGCUUGUUAUCACAGUCAGGGACCUGGAUCCCAAGCAUGCCAUGCCAUAGAUGUACUGGUAGUACCAUCCCCUGGCAAAGAAGAGGUUAACACUGUCCAUCUUUGUGCGGUGUCUUAGGAGGACUGCAAUCACCCAUUUUUAUUUUUGGUUCUGCUGCAUAAAAACAACUGCUCUUUGUAACCUGCAUGGCGCAAAGGACCCAUUUCUUCCGGCAGCAUUUAAGAGAGGGCAUAAAAAAAGGAAGCAGAGGAAGAAAGUUCACAUUCAGUGAGUGCCAGGUUGUCAAGGUUUCCUCUGCUUUCAGACACAAAUUUUUUCUUCUGACAGACACAAGAGAGAUUUAAAACUGUUCGGCACAGAGUGGAGCUUCAAAAUCAGCAGUGUCUGUGUCUGAUACAAGACGAAGAGCAGAGCUCAGGACCUCCUGUACAAGGCAAUUUUGUUGUCAUCAUGGCAUACAUGGGGGCAUUAUACCAAAUUUGUGUUUGGCUCAUCACAAAGCUCACUCUGUGUGAGUCUCAAAAUUCUGUGCUGCUUUCAGCCUGGCUGCCAGAGUGGCCGUGGGUUGGUUCAGCCCUGCAAGGACGUGGGUCAAGUUCAGCCUGCUGCAAAGAAAGAGGCUUUCAUGAGGUUGCGUUUUUCAGCUUCCUUCCCCAUUUUUAUUGUUUUCUGUUUCAAUAAAUCAUGGAGUGCCGGUGAAAUCCCCAAGCACCUGAUGGGUGCGGUUAUUAAACCAACACUUAAAAAAGCCAGAUUAGGCAAGCUUGGGCACUGCUCCCUUGGCCUGGUGGCCAUAUAUGUUAUGCCUCUUGGGCCAUACAUGAGUAUCAGAACAUUGGUAGACAAUUUAGCUGAUAAAUAUUGAAGAGGCAGUAACAUAAUUAGCACUGGUCAACAUUGUUUUCUGGAAAAAUCAAUCUCAACUGAACCUGAUCUCAUUCUCCAUUGGGACCACAGGAUGUGUUGCCAAAGGUAGUGACACAGAGGCACUAGGGGAGACAUUCAGCAUCUGACUGCUGAGAGUACAGCCAAACAGUAUGAAUAAAAUGAACAGAUUAACAGCUAGCCACUGGUUUGGAUGCUGGGAAUCACCCAGAAACCACUGACCCAGCAGGUCUGGUUUCAUUUUCUGUGCAGAUACUUGAUACUACAGAAGUGAGAGAGGAUGUAGAUGCAGCUGGGGACUGAAUGGGAUGUGAGAAAAGGACAGCUUUAACCCCAUCCUCAGCUCUGUUGCCCCUGAAAGUUCAAGGCUGCAAGACCACGCAGGUGAACCAGCGUACAUAGUCCCCUCUGGCCAGUGCUCCUUGGAAACAGCCCGUUCUUCUUAGUAGCUAUUUGAUUCAAAUGCCUUAACAAAUAGUAGGAGGAAAGUCCUUGAUGCUCAAGGUACACAGGUGUGUGUUAAAAAAAAAAAAAAAAAGGAGAAUUUUCCUCCCUUUGUAAGGGACUUUUAGAGCUGCAGGGUUGACCCUGGAGUGCUAAUGGCUAACAUGUCAUGAACUGGCUUACAAAAUGGCCCAGCUCCUGCAACACAUCCUGCAGGACUGGCAACCUCCAGUAAACACCAGCAUCUCACCAGUGCCUAGCACUCAUGAAGCUCCAGCCUCAGGGCUGCCUGACACCCAGCAGCCCCCGUUCCACCCGCCUGUCCGCAGCGUGUCCCACAGCAGCAGUGCCUCGGCUCCUUUGGCAGCCAACACAGGCUCCCACACUCAGCACAGAGAGCACAAGGGAAAGCAAUGUUAUGCCUUGCACGCUUAUCUCCUGCAGAAAACAGCAAGGCACUUUUGUUUAUUGAGUGCCGAUGAAUGGCGCUGUCUUGGCUGUGAGAUCGGUCUCCAGAUCUCACUCUGAGCACAGCUGCUGGCAGGGAGCCCACAGCUGCAGCCACUUAUUGCCCCAGGAGCCUUUCAGCAGGGCUUUCCUCCUCUUCCCAGGGAGAAAAUGGCCCACGGCAUCCCACAAUAUGCAUCUCUCCCUGUGCAGAGGUGGCACUGGAUUUAUGGGCCACUGCAGGAUAGGGAACAUCACUCCUUCCCCCUGUGGUGUGUGGCCACAUAAUGCCAAACAGUGCAGUUUGCUCCAGGACCUUUCGGUGUUCCUCACCCUCCACAGCUCAUUCGUUCUUCUGCCCUUUCAGCAGAUAACUACGGGAAACCUGGAGCCACAUUAGGCUGCUUUGCUGUUUCUUGGUGGCAGAAAGGUGGGAUGGGUCCAUCCUGCCAGGAUGGAGGGGGAAGUGGACACUAAGGACAUUGCUAUCCUGCCAUGGGUGAAACAGCUUGACCUCAGGGAGAGUCAAAGUUUUCCAGGCUUGCCACCUCACAAAGAUCUGUUGCCACCUCCUUCAGAGCCAUGUUAUUUUGAGACCCCAAAAAGCUGAUGGAUCCAUCUGUGACUGCCUCUGCCCUCCAGCCAUCAUUGAUACACAGCAGUUGACACAAAAUAGUCUGUCUUUGCAGCAAGAUUUCCUUUUCCCUGCCCUGACUGCAACCCAGUCAUCUGUUGUAAGGGAUUUUUGAGAGGGAGACACUGUUUUCUUGCUCCUCUCAAUGCACCAGCUUGAAAGCUUUGCCGGGAUUGUCACUCAGCCCGAUGCUCCUGCAACAUAUGAAGGAUGUGUCAGACCCCAGGAGACAGAAACUUGCAGAGUUGAGAGGGAGCAGCUACAACCAGUGUCACAACCCAUGCUUGUUCUCAGCUCUGGCCUUGGGAAGAUGAUAAAGAAUUAUAAGGAUUUCCAUUUUUCUCCAACCUGGAGGUAAGAAAACAAAAAACAUUUUUCCCAAACAACUGCUGAUUCCAGAAGGAAUGAAGUCUUCCAAGGACUUGGCUGAAGAAGCAGCAAGGUGAAGAUUUAUACUUAAGCUUAUGUCCUCACCCAGCUAACCUGUUAUUACCUCCCUCAUCCAGCUUUCCUACUUCUCUCAAAAUAACAUGCUUUCCAUUGACUCUCAUCCAGCUCAAAUAUUUGCUUCCAGGUCAGCUAAAGGAAAGAGCAUUGGACAAUUGCUCUGAUUUCCUGCCAGCACCUCCAGAUCCUCAGCUGGGCACUUGGUGUCACUUCAAGGAGAAAACCAGAUGCCAGUAAGGUGGCCUGGCCCAGCGGCUGCCACUCAGCAAUGAGACUGGAAAUAGAAGUACUUGUCUGGGGUAGUUCCUUAACUUUCCUUAAGUUAUCAGCUUUUCAAAUCCUGAAGAGCCAUUUUACUGACGAUACUGUUUGAUAUCUCCUGUUGCCUGGCCUAGUUGCAGCCCAUACCACGUGCAACCUAAACACCUGGCAGUAAUCUCUCUCUCUCCUGGAACCAAUCUAUCUGUUACCUGGAAGAGCUGUAGCUCUGCUGAUGCCUGGAUGAGCCCUUCAUAAGAGUCCAGCCUACCCUAUCCCUUAUUCCAGCAUUGCCUAAUUCAGCUGUGGCCUGGCCAUCACAAAUGGAAAGCUAAGUGUAGCCUAGCUUCAUCUCAUAGCUGUGGAUGCUGCCUUAUGCCACCUGUAGACUUCCUUAGCCUAUUUUGCCUAGACAAAAGCCUUCUGCACUUUCACCACAGGCCGGGCUCCACCUGAGCCCCAGACAUAUGCUCAGCUCAUGUCCUGAACGUUGUGUUUCCCAGCUUAGCCCCGCUGCAGCAAAGCCAAGCUCCAGGGACACCAUUAACUCGGCUGCAGUCUGUCCUGCACUUUGCAGCCAGCAGUAUCCAAACAGGGGCCCUUCUCCCAUUUCUGCACAGCACAGCCAAGCUCACCAGUAUCUUUCUGCCAGCAGGAUUAAAGGGACCUGUCUCUGUCUAACUUCCUGAGGCAUUUAUGGAUUAGUAGACUGUGAUGUGGAACAGUUGAGUGCUUAUUUUAUUCCCAGUGAGAGCAAUACGCCCAAAUGCAUCUCUCCAAAACUGGAGGAAAGAACAAAUAACUCAUUGUAACACAUCGAAAUUACAGACAAGAACAUAUGACACAGAAUACAAGAGAAAAGGUACAUUCAAAAGAGAACUGAUGACUUGAACCCAACAUAAGACUUGAGGGGAGCACCUAAGAAAUCAAAUCUGAGGAAGUCCCUAGGCCCAAGGUGGCAAAUCAAGUCUGUAAGUCAUUGUCCAGUGCUCUGGACUGGACACUAAGCACCCUGUGGACUGAGAUGUUAGAAUGGCCUUAAAUAAAAAAAAAAAGCAGAAUGAUUUGAUGCCUCUCUUUAAAUAAUAGUGACGGCAGGUCUGAAACAGCAUCAGGGAAGCCACCAA